AUACGCAGGUGACAAGCGUUAUCCGGAUUUACUGGGCGUAAAGGGCGUGUAGGCGGUCUUGCAAGUCAGAAGUGAAAUUCCUGAGCUCAACUCGGGCGCUGCUUCUGAAACUGCAGGACUUGAGUGCUGGAGGGGAUAGCGGAAUUCCUAGUGGAGCGGUAAAAUGCGCAGAUAUUAGGAAGAACACCGGUGGCGAAGGCGUCUAUCUGGCAAUUAACUGACGCGGAGGCGCGAAAGCGUGGGAGCAAAAGGGUAUAGAUCCCCUGGUAGUCAACGCCGUAAACGAUGAAUACUAGGUGUAGGGGGUUUCGACUCCCUCUGUGCCGCAGUUAACACAAUAAGUAUUCCGCCUGGGGAGUACCGCCGCAAGGUUGAAACUCAAAGGAAUUGACGGGG
rnacentral:rRNA from 1 species